GGGUCAGUAGGUUGGUCGUGCCACCGGUACGUACUGGUCUCACUGAUUCCUCCUUCCUGAAGAACCGUAAUGCCAUUAAUUUGGUGUUGCGGGGAAACAGGACUGUUACUUUGAAGAGAUUAGAGUGUUUAAAGCAAGCUAACGCUUGAAUACAUUAGCAUGGAAUAAUGAAAUAGGACGAUCGAUCCUAUUUUGUUGGUCUCUAGGAUUGACGUA
rnacentral:rRNA from 1 species